AUAUGCUUGUUCCAAAGAUUAAGCCAUGCAUGCGUUAGAUUAAAAGUAGCUUGAACUCAAUCUGCGAAAGGCUCCGUAUAUCUGUUGAAACCUUAGGCGGAAAAGCUGGAGAUGGAAUCGGAUUGGAUCGGCAACGGACAACCGAGGAAAUCCUUUGGCUAAUACGCUAUACAAAAAACUUGAACACAGAAGGUGUCUGCACAGAAAGGCCCCUUCUAAGCAAUUGGGGGGAGUAUUAACACACUUCUUGUGGGUCGUGGGGGGAGGCGCGUUGAGGGCAGAGUGCCGUUCUCGAAACCUUGUCUGGAGACAGGGGAGUACAGGGUGGUCAGCAUUUUUGGCUUUUAGCUCCCUUAAACAAGGGGCGGCCGGGGGUGCCUGCCUCCACGUGGAAAGAACCUGCGAGUACCUCACUGGGGGCCUGGAGGUCAACAGCAUCUGGCGUGUUCUUCAGACCUAUCAACUACAUGCAUGGGGCACGGCCCCACAUGGUUUCAACAGGUACAGAGGAUCAGGGUUCGGUCCUGGAGAGGUAGCCUAAGAGAUCGCUACUACUUCUAAGGAAGGCAGCAGGCGCGCAACGUUCCCCAUGGGGAAACCCUGAGGACGUGAAGGAACAUAGCAAUACCGAGCCCUUAAAAGCCCGGUAAUUGAAAUGGGGGAGAUACAAAUCACCCACCGAGUAACAAUUGGAGGACAAGUCUGGUGCCAGCACCCGCGGUAAUUCCAGCUCCAAUAGCAUCUCAUUAAGUUGUUGCAGUUAAAACGCUCGUAGUCGGAGUAGGCGAGCCCCUGCAGCUAGCAGUGCUCUCAGAAAACAGCUUGGCACAGCCAAGCCUGAACUUGAAGUCUGCCCCAGAACGACCUUGCCUUGAUCCCCGGACCUGAUACCGACCCCAGUAAUGGGCGAGGGGUAAGCGAAGGGGGGAUGGGACCGUGGGGAAGGGAAAGGGGUCGACGAUAGGAAGUAGGCGACAGCCCCCUCGCUCGUGAGUAUGUUGGGUGCCGUGUUGUGGGGGUUUGCCGACAGCUUUGGGUCGAUGGUAGGUUGGGACUUAAGUGGCCCUCUCUAUCUCCCCGGGGCAUUUUACUUUGAAUAAAUUAGAGCGCUCAACGCGGGUCAUCUAUAGGACCUUUAGCGUUAUCUUAUAUAACCCUUGUACACUUCAGCAAAGAAUAAUACAGUACGCCGUCUACGGCAAACUGUGUUGGUCGUAGUCAAGGGAAUGAUUAAUUGGGGGGAUCGGGGCCAGCCACAUGGCAGGGGUAGGGGUGAAAUCCGUUGAUCCUUGCCAGGUGAACAAACGCGAAAGCAGCUGGCUAGUACCCUUUCUUUGAUCAAGAACGAAAGUAUGAGGAUCGAAGAUGAUCAGAUACCAUCGUAGUUCAUACUAUAAAUGAUGCCGGCCGCGGAUGGGUUUCCCGUCCAUCCUGACAGAGCCUGCACUCUGUGAGAAAUCACCAGCGUUUGGGCUCCGGGGGGAGUAUGGUCGCAAGAC
rnacentral:rRNA from 1 species